UAGCCCUAUAGUAUAGUGGUCAAGUAUGAUGCCCCUUGGAGGCAUAGACCCAGGUUCGAAUCCUGGUAGGGCUAU
rnacentral:tRNA from 1 species